rnacentral:rRNA from 1 species
AGAACGAACGCUGGCGGCAGGCCUAACACAUGCAAGUCGAACGCCCGUAGCAAUACGGGAGUGGCAGACGGGUGAGUAACGCGUGGGAACGUACCUUUCGGUUCGGAAUAACCCGGGGAAACUCGGGCUAAUACCGGAUACGUCCGCAAGGAGAAAGACUUAUCGCCGAAAGAUCGGCCCGCGUCGGAUUAGCUAGUUGGUGAGGUAACGGCCCACAAGGCGACGAUCCGUAGCUGGUCUGAGAGGAUGAUCAGCCACACUGGGACUGAGACACGGCCCAGACUCCUACGGGAGGCAGCAGUGGGGAAUAUUGGACAAUGGGCGAAAGCCUGAUCCAGCCAUGCCGCGUGAGUGAAGAAGGCCUUAGGGUUGUAAAGCUCUUUCAGGCGGGAAGAGUAAUGAACGGUACCCGCAGGAAGAACGUCCGCUAACUCGUGCCAGCAGCCG